AACGCUGGCGGCGUGCUUAACACAUGCAAGUCGAACGGAAAGGCCCUGCUUUUGUGGGGUGCUCGAGUGGCGAACGGGUGAGUAACACGUGAGUAACCUGCCCUUGACUUUGGGAUAACUUCAGGAAACUGGGGCUAAUACCGGAUAGGAGCUCCUGCUGCAUGGUGGGGGUUGGAAAGUUUCGGCGGUUGGGGAUGGACUCGCGGCUUAUCAGCUUGUUGGUGGGGUAGUGGCUUACCAAGGCUUUGACGGGUAGCCGGCCUGAGAGGGUGACCGGCCACAUUGGGACUGAGAUACGGCCCAGACUCCUACGGGAGGCAGCAGUGGGGAAUAUUGCACAAUGGGCGGAAGCCUGAUGCAGCAACGCCGCGUGCGGGAUGACGGCCUUCGGGUUGUAAACCGCUUUCGCCUGUGACGAAGCGUGAGUGACGGUAAUGGGUAAAGAAGCACCGGCUAACUACGUGCCAGCAGCCGCGGUGAUACGUAGGGUGCGAGCGUUGUCCGGAUUUAUUGGGCGUAAAGGGCUCGUAGGUGGUUGAUCGCGUCGGAAGUGUAAUCUUGGGGCUUAACCCUGAGCGUGCUUUCGAUACGGGUUGACUUGAGGAAGGUAGGGGAGAAUGGAAUUCCUGGUGGAGCGGUGGAAUGCGCAGAUAUCAGGAGGAACACCAGUGGCGAAGGCGGUUCUCUGGGCCUUUCCUGACGCUGAGGAGCGAAAGCGUGGGGAGCGAACAGGCUUAGAUACCCUGGUAGUCCACGCUGUAAACGGUGGGUACUAGGUGUGGGGUCCAUUCCACGGGUUCCGUGCCGUAGCUAACGCUUUAAGUACCCCGCCUGGGGAGUACGGCCGCAAGGCUAAAACUCAAAGGAAUUGACGGGGCCCCGCACAAGCGGCGGAGCAUGCGGAUUAAUUCGAUGCAACGCGUAGAACCUUACCUGGGUUUGACAUGGAUCGGGAGUGCUCAGAGAUGGGUGUGCCUCUUUUGGGGUCGGUUCACAGGUGGUGCAUGCCUGUCGUCAGCUCGUGUCGUGAGAUGUUGGGUUAAGUCCCGCAACGAGCGCAACCCUUGUUCACUGUUGCCAGCACGUUAUGGUGGGGACUCAGUGGAGACCGCCGGGGUCAACUCGGAGGAAGGUGGGGAUGACGUCAAGUCCUCAUGCCCCUUAUGUCCAGGGCUUCACGCAUGCUACAAUGGCUGGUACAGAGAGUGGCGAGCCUGUGAGGGUGAGCGAAUCUCGGAAAGCCGGUCUCAGUUCGGAUUGGGGUCUGCAACUCGACCUCAUGAAGUCGGAGUCGCUAGUAAUCGCAGAUCAGCAACGCUGCGGUGAAUACGUUCCCGGGGCUUGUACACACCGCCCGUCAAGUCAUGAAAGUUGGUAACACCCGAAGCCGGUGGCCUAACCGUUGUGGGGGAGCCGUCGAAGGUGGGACUGGUGAUUAGGACUAAG
rnacentral:rRNA from 1 species